rnacentral:tRNA from 1 species
GAGUAUGUUCUGGUCAUAAUGAGAACUGCUAAUUCCUCAUUUUCAUGGUUCAAAUCCAUGACCUACUCA